ACUUGGGUGCUGCAUUUGAAACUGGAUAUCUAGAGUGCAGGAGAGGUAAGUGGAAUUCCUAGUGUAGCGGUGAAAUGCGUAGAGAUUAGGAAGAACACCAGUGGCGAAGGCGACUUACUGGACUGUAACUGACACUGAGGCAUGAAAGCGUGGGUAGCAAACAGGAUUAGAUACCCUGGUAGUCCACGCCGUAAACGAUGAGUACUAGGUGUAGGAGGUAUCGACUCCUUCUGUGCCGCAGUUAACACAAUAAGUACUCCGCCUGGGAAGUACGAUCGCAAGAUUAAAACUCAAAGGAAUUGACGGGGGCCCGCACAAGCAGCGGAGCAUGUGGUUUAAUUCGAUGCAACGCGAAGAACCUUACCUACCCUUGACAUCUAAGGAAUCCAGAUGAGAGUUUGGAGUGCCGAAAGG
rnacentral:rRNA from 1 species